rnacentral:rRNA from 1 species
UACGGGGGGGGUAAGCGUUGUUCGGAAUUACUGGGCGUAAAGCGCACGUAGGCGGCUUUCUAAGUCGGGGGUGAAAUCCUGGAGCUCAACUCCAGAACUGCCUUCGAUACUGGAGAGCUCGAGUCCGGGAGAGGUGAGUGGAACUGCGAGUGUAGAGGUGAAAUUCGUAGAUAUUCGCAAGAACACCAGUGGCGAAGGCGGCUCACUGGCCCGGUACUGACGCUGAGGUGCGAAAGCGUGGGGAGCAAACAGG